rnacentral:tRNA from 1 species
UAGAUUUUUAGUGUAGUGGUAACACAACAGUCUCCAAAACUGUUAUCGUGGGUUCGAUUCCUGCAAAGUCUGU